rnacentral:lncRNA from 1 species
GGGAAGCCCAAGAACGUUUAUUGCAGGAACAACACAUUCAUGUUUUGAAGUCUCUGGGCAUCAUUAGGGUUAAUACUGAAGUUAACCCUAACGAAGAAUGUCAAGCCACUAUCUUUACAAAUGAUAAGGUCGUCAAGGAGGAAAAAAGAGAAGAAGAAGAGCUAGAGAUGUAUGAAGAGGAAACAAAAACAGAAAAAGUUGUUGCUGCGAAAAAGAUAGAGGAGAUAGAAAAAGAAAAAUUGAAUGAGAGUGAGAAGAAGGAUGAGAAAGGAAAAGCAGUGGUUGAAAGAAAAAAC